rnacentral:rRNA from 1 species
AAAUUGAAGAGUUUGAUCAUGGCUCAGAUUGAACGCUGGCGGCAGGCCUAACACAUGCAAGUCGAACGGUAACAGGAAGCAGCUUGUUGCUUCG